rnacentral:rRNA from 1 species
UGGGGAAUAUUGCACAAUGGGCGCAAGCCUGAUGCAGCCAUGCCGCGUGUGUGAAGAAGGCCUUCGGGUUGUAAAGCACUUUCAGCGAGGAGGAAGGUGGUGGACUUAAUACGUUCAUCAAUUGACGUUACUCGCAGAAGAAGCACCGGCUAACUCCGUGCCAGCAGCCGCGGUAAUACGGAGGGUGCAAGCGUUAAUCGGAAUUACUGGGCGUAAAGCGCACGCAGGCGGUUUGUUAAGUCAGAUGUGAAAUCCCCGGGCUCAACCUGGGAACUGCAUUUGAAACUGGCAAGCUAGAGUCUCGUAGAGGGGGAUAGAAUUCCAGGUGUAGCGGUGAAAUGCGUAGAGAUCUGGAGGAAUACCGGUGGCGAAGGCGGCCCCCCUGGACGAAGACUGACGCUCAGGUGCGAAAGCGUGGGGAGCAAACAGGAUUAGAUACCCCUAGUAGUCCACGCUGUAAAACGAUGUCGAUUUUGGAGGUUGUGCCCUUGAGGCGUGGCUUCCGGAGCUAACGCGUUAAAUCGACCGCCUGGGGAGUACGGCCGCAAGGUU